GGUUGAGUCUUUAACUGAAAUAACUGCUGGAGAGGCUGCCUGGGCUUGAUUGACAUGAGGUUAUCAAUGGAAAGUGUCUCACGUUGUUUCUGAUAACCAAGGCCCAGCAUGAAGGAGUUAUCUUUGCCAGACCUGCAAGGUGGGAAGUCUUGGCAACAGCUCUGGGCGAAACCAAGAACAAGAUGACGCCAAGAUGUUGGUUUCUCUUGAGGGGGUGCAUAUCAGAGAUGCGUGGCCUUUGGGUGGUGUUUGACAUAAAAGGAAAAGAAGAACUGUGUCCUACUCAGAGGACAUGGAAAGGAUGAAGAAGGAGGCGGUCCCAUGUUGAGGCUAGAACCCAGGAUCUCACACAGCUAGUACAGAAUAACAAUAGACACAAGAAGGCUGGGCUUGUCGGUUCACACCUGGAACCGCAGAGGAGCAGAUCGAGAAACGGAACAGCAAAGACCGGAGUUUUAGAAAAUGAAAAGACUGCAGCUUGUGUCUAGUUGGCCCUAACAAGACAGCUGUGAUGUCAGGCUGCUAAGAGUGGAAGAGUCCUGGCAAAGACAAAAUGGAAUAGUCCACGAGAAGCAUUCUCUCAGCACAGCGGCAAUCAGGCUUCAUAAGAGAAAAAGCAGCAAGGGUUUCUAGGUACAGGCCAUGAGACGAGGGUGUGAGAUUCCUGGCUUCUGACGUUUCCUGUGCUCCUUCCUUGAUCAUUGCUUCAGGCACGGGUGCUUCAUCAGAGUCCUUCCAUCUCUUUCCAGCUGUGAUGGGCAAGGAGGCCUCGCACAGCUGCUCUUGCUGGGCGAGAGUCCACAAUUAAAGGCAUCACUGCUCCCACUCUGGCUCCGGCUCCUCUCUGGGAUGAUUGCUGCAAGCUCACAAGGUCUCGAGGGAGCCCGCUCUGCCUUCCUCUGCACAUCACCUCUGCUCUCGGCUCGCACUAGCUCCCC